GGCAGAAUGAUGAGUCGCUCGCAAUGGGUGACAAUAAGCCGAGUGUUAGCGAAUUACGGUUCGUGAUGAUCAUUUACUCAAAAGCGAUCUUGUGACCUGACUGCA
rnacentral:snoRNA from 1 species